AUUGAACGCUGGCGGCAGGCCUAACACAUGCAAGUCGAACGGUAACAGGAAGAAGCUUGCUUCUUUGCUGACGAGUGGCGGACGGGUGAGUAAUGACUGGGAAACUGCCUGAUGGAGGGGGAUAACUACUGGAAACGGUAGCUAAUACCGCAUAACGUCGCAAGACCAAAGAGGGGGACCUUCGGGCCUCUUGCCAUCGGAUGUGCCCAGAUGGGAUUAGCUAGUAGGUGGGGUAACGGCUCACCUAGGCGACGAUCCCUAGCUGGUCUGAGAGGAUGACCAGCCACACUGGAACUGAGACACGGUCCAGACUCCUACGGGAGGCAGCAGUGGGGAAUAUUGCACAAUGGGCGCAAGCCUGAUGCAGCCAUGCCGCGUGUAUGAAGAAGGCCUUCGGGUUGUAAAGUACUUUCAGCGGGGAGGAAGGGAGUAAAGUUAAUACCUUUGCUCAUUGACGUUACCCGCAGAAGAAGCACCGGCUAACUCCGUG
rnacentral:rRNA from 1 species